rnacentral:rRNA from 1 species
GAUGAACGCUGGCGGCGUGCCUAAUACAUGCAAGUCGAGCGAACGGACGAGAAGCUUGCUUCUCUGAUGUUAGCGGCGGACGGGUGAGUAACACGUGGAUAACCUACCUAUAAGACUGGGAUAACUUCGGAAAACCGGAGCUAAUACCGGAUAAUAUUUUGAACCGCAUGGUUCAAAAGUGAAAGACGGUCUUGCUGUCACUUAUAGAUGGAUCCGCGCUGCAUUAGCUGGUUGGUAAGGUAACGGCUUACCAAGGCAACGAUGCAUAGCCGACCUGAGAGGGUGAUCGGCCACACUGGAACUGAGACACGGUCCAGACUCCUACGGGAGGCAGCAGUAGGGAAUCUUCCGCAAAGGGCGAAAGCCUGACGGAGCAACGCCGCGUGAGUGAUGAAGGUCUUCGGAUCGUAAAACUCUGUUAUUAGGGAAGAACAUAUGUGUAAGUAACUGUGCACAUCUUGACGGUACCUAAUCAGAAAGCCACGGCUAACUACGUG